UUGUCAAUUCUCGUCGUGUGUUUAGUGGUUGUUUUGUUUCAUAGUGUUCUUAGUGUUUUGAGUUGUGUUAAAUAAAUAUCCACACUGCUGCGAAUAGAUCCUUUCUCACCUUUGUUUCAACCGGAAUGUGACAUGCAGACUUAUGCAGUUAGUUAUUCCAUGUUUUUCUUUAUUUAUUUUCUUUUAUCUUUGGUUUUCAGUGGCAUUGCAUAGGUUGUAAUUUGUAUAUUAAAUGCUCAAAAGCUCUGAUAUGAUUUAUCUCUAUUUCAAUUUUUAGAUCAUAAAAACCAGCUGUUUUAACAGGCAUGUGUAGACUUUUUAUAUCCACUGUAUGUAAGAUUGUAUUAGUAUAAGGUGAGGUAGGCGAUUCUGCUCUAAUUCAUUAUUAUUAUAGGAGUUUGACUAUUUGGGUGAUGGUGUUUUCUGUCCCUCCAGCUACAGAUCAAAGUGAACGGACAGAGAGGAGGAUUGGGAAUCUGUAUUGCGGGAGGGAAAGGCUCCUUGCCGUACAAAGAGAAUGAUGAGGGUGUUUUCAUCUCCAGAGUGUCUAAAGGUGGCCCAGCGGAGAAGGCCGGGCUUCAUGUUGCGGAUAGAGUGUUGGAGGUCAAUGGCCAAGACAUGCAGGAGGUCAGUCACCAUGAGGCUGUCAGCGUCCUGAGGAAUGCUGGCAGCUGCAUAAAAAUGAAAGUGCUACGGGAGAGAUGUGUGCCCGUGGAGCCGCGAGAGCACGAGAGGUCUGACACCAUGGAGACGGACCCCCAGGUCAGCCAAGAGUGGGAUGUUACCUUGAGCAAUAACAGAUCAAGUGGCCCACAAUCCUCCGCUGAUCCCAUGCCAGAAUGCAGCCCAUUGACCAACAGGAUAGAAGCUACGGUCUGCAACGGAAACGGACCGAAUGAACAGGAUUUACGGCCAAUGAAAGACAUGGAGACCUUCAAAAACAAUGCCCUACAGGUUGUGAAAAACACCAUGACGAUACCUCGGAUCAUUCUGACUCACCCUUCGACCUCAGAUGAAGAAGUGGAGCCGCUGACACAGGGUCCAGAUGAUGGAGAUUUUGAUUCUGACUUCAGUGAUUCAGACAGUCACAUCUACUCUGACUGCUUGAACAACGCUUUCUAUCCUCUGUGAAAGCCUCACACAGGCUUCAGAUGUGCCUGUGUCCUUCAGUUAAGUGAGAUUGUUCUGGCUGUGGUCCACAUUCGCUGGAGCAGAAAAUGAGUGAUGCAGGGAUCGAUACUUCAGGCAAACUUACCAUGAGUCCAUGAUGAGUCAAAUAAAACAACCUGAACUGUUUAGAACACCACGAGUGAAAGAGAUAUAAAGAAAGUGAAAAGUAAAUAGAUAAUAUUUUUCUAACAUUUACAUGCUCUUAAAUAGACCUUACUUGCUUUGUGUAUGCUUUAUUUAAAUGUUUUUACUUGCAUCAUUUAUAAGUUGCCAAAAAUGAAAUAAACUUUAAAAAUGUCA